GACGGAGGGUGCAAGCGUUGUUCGGAAUUACUGGGCGUAAAGCGCGGGCAGGUGGCCUUUUAAGUCCUUUGUGAAAUUCCGGAGCUCAACUCCGGACAUGCAUAGGAUACUGGAUGGCUUGAAUUCGGGAGAGGGAUGCAGAAUUCCAGGUGUAGCGGUGAAAUGCGUAGAUAUCUGGAGGAAUACCGGUGGCGAAGGCGGCAUCCUGGACCGACAUUGACGCUGAGGAGCGAAAGCUAGGGGGGCAAACAGG
rnacentral:rRNA from 1 species